rnacentral:lncRNA from 1 species
CCAACACACAAGGGGAAUUACAGAAUGCAUCCCCUAAGCAAAGGAAGCAGAGUGUGUACACACCACCCACCAUAAAAGGUACUGUUCAGGUACUGUUUCGGGUUGUCAUGAGUGGUGAAUCAUGGCUGGUCGGCCGUCUGUUCUCUAGGACCACAUAUCUGAUGAUAAGCUAGAUCUAGUCUCAGCUCUACAACUUAACAGUGUUAUGUUCAGUAAGAUAUCUUAUCUACUUAAAACUUAGUUUCAUCAAGAGUAAAAUAUGGGGUUGAAAAAGAAAUAGCUAGUGAUCUCAGAAUUUCAGUCUAGAAAUUCAGUUUCCAAAAUAAUGACAAAGAUUUUUUUUUACCGUUAUUCGCAUACUUCCUUAAAGAGAUUUUCCCAGAAGCCCUAAUUACUCUUGCCAGUGUUGG